GACGAACCGUGCGAACGUUGUUCGGAAUCACUGGGCGUAAAGCGCACGUAGGCGGAUCUUUAAGUCAGGGGUGAAAUCCCGAGGCUCAACCUCGGAACUGCCUUUGAUACUGGAGAUCUCGAGUCCGGGAGAGGUGAGUGGAACUGCGAGUGUAGAGGUGAAAUUCGUAGAUACCAGGAGGAACACCGGUGGCGAAGGCGGCGACCUGGACCGGUACUGACGCUGAGACGCGAAAGCGUGGGGAGCAAACAGG
rnacentral:rRNA from 1 species